rnacentral:lncRNA from 1 species
UUUAAUUUCCCUAGGCAAGACACUAUUAACUCAGCAUUACAGUCAGAAUCUUAUUUGGCCCCAACCUGAGAAAGGCAUGAGUACAGUAUUACUCCAUACUUAAUGUUUUUUUUCUUUGGAAAAAAAAAAUUAUUCCUGGUCUCUGACUCUGUUUCAACAGAUGUGAAGCAAAAACUGUCUUGGGAAGCUCACAAGUAUGUGCAUCAAAUCUACCUCCUAAGCAGACAGAGGCUUACUCAAGUUCCACCAUGUUGCAUGCAAACGCUUUAUUUUUGCUUCACGUGUGAGGAUUGAUUUUUGUCACUGUAUUAAAAUUUACCCCUCAAAUUCUUGGUUCUGGACUCGUGCAACAAAAAGAAGGAAAAGUUGUCUAUCAUUUACUUCAAAAGAGCCUGUGUUUUGCUGUUCAUAUUCAGAAUCUCUGCCCUCUCAAUUCCAGCCUCCAAUACGGAUGCCAAGGUAAAACACAGGCUGGAAAAGACACACGCAUUUAUUUAUGUUAUAUACCUACUCAGUUUCAGCUUUUUCUACCCAAAAGUCAACGAGUAGAACAUGUGAGAUUUAAGAAUGUUUCCAUGGGGCAACCAUCUGUUUAAUGCUUUAUUCUUUUGAGAAUACAAUAUUAUAUUUUUGCUUUAUGUGCAUUGGUUCAGAUUUAUAACAUUUUAUGUAACUGUGACCCAUUAUGAUGAAUAUCACAGAUGAUGAUAGGCUCGUUAAGCACAUCUCAUUUCAGUCAAACUGCAAGUGGCAUUUUGUUUAUAUGGUUCAUUUCGCCAACAAAUUAGAUUUCAAAUUGAUUGCUCUCUGAAAUGACUUUGUUCAUCAAUUUCUAGACUAGGCAAUUACAAAGACUAUACUAGUAAUUAAUAAGCCUCUGAAUCAACAAUGUUCUUAAACUGCUUGGCAGUAGUAUUGAAGUUUAAGGGUCUAUCAGGGUUAUCCAGAAUCUGAUAAAGGAAUGCCUCACAGAAAUACUUUCUCAUAGUGGGAAAUUAAAGUCAAAAUACCUUUUAUCAAAACCCUUUUUUCCUCUUAGCCUUAGGUGCAGGGGGAGAAAGCAGACACUACACCUGACUUGUGAAAUAUUCAAAUAAGAAGCUCAGUUGGUUUUUUUCUGUUUGUUUGUUUCAGUUAUAAGCAGGAAGACUAAGAUUAGCAGGACCAAGAUUUUAAGUUUGACCAGUGAAUGACACCAGUCAAAAACCCAGUGUUUGCUUACAUGUAAAAAGCUUACUCGAAAAGAGCUAGUUCAAGUUAAAUGAGCUUGGGCAGAAAGCUGCAGUGAAAUCCU